AAAAGGGCUCUUUUCAGAGCCACACACAAUCUAAUAAAGAGCUAAU
rfam:Takifugu rubripes chromosome, Chr_17